rnacentral:rRNA from 1 species
GCAGUUGCGCCCGAGGCCAUUCGGCCGAGGGCACGCCUGCCUGGGCGUCACGCAAAACACGCUCCCACCCCCUCAUCGGGGAGCGGGACGCGGCAUGUGGCCCCCCGUCGCGCAAGGGGCGGUGGGCCGAAGAUAUGGCUGCCGGCGUAUCGUGCUGGACACAGCGCGUGGUGGGCGACCUCGCUUUACUUCCGCAGUGCAUCCGGCGCGUAGCCGACAUGAUGGCCUUGAAGGACCCUAUGAACGGUGCGCACGACGCUCCGACCGCGACCCCAGGUCAGGCGGGACUACCCGCUGAAUUUAAGCAUAUAAAUAAGCGGAGGAGAAGAAACUUACAAGGAUUCCCCUAGUAACGGCGAGCGAACCGGGAACAGCCCAGCUUGAGAAU